GCUUGUCUCAAAGAUUAAGCCAUGCAUGUCUAAGUAUAAGCCUUUAUAUGGUGAGACUGCGAAUGGCUCAUUAAAUCAGAAACUGUUUAUUUGAUAGUGCCUACUACAUGGAUACCUGUAGUAAUUCUAGAGCUAAUACAUGCAUUCAAGCCCCGACUUCUGGAAGGGGUGUAUUUAUUAGAUAAAAAUCAACUUUGUUGGUGAAUCAUAAUAACUUCUCGGACCGCAUGGCCUCGUGCUGGCGGUGCUUCAUUCAAAUAUCUGCCCUAUCAACUGUCGAUGGUAGGAUAGAGGCCUACCAUGGUUGCAACGGGUAACGGGGAAUAAGGGUUCGAUUCCGGAGAGGGAGCCUGAGAAACGGCUACCACAUCCAAGGAAGGCAGCAGG
rnacentral:rRNA from 1 species